GAUGAACGCUGGCGGCGUGCUUAACACAUGCAAGUCGAACGGAAAGGCCGAAGCUUGCUUCGGUACUCGAGUGGCGAACGGGUGAGUAACACGUGGGUGAUCUGCCCUGUACUUCGGGAUAAGCUUGGGAAACUGGGUCUAAUACCGGAUAUGACGAUCUCUUGGAUGGGGUUGUGGAAAGCUUUUGCGGUAUGGGAUGAGCUCGCGGCCUAUCAGCUUGUUGGUGGGGUAAUGGCCUACCAAGGCGUCGACGGGUAGCCGGCCUGAGAGGGUGUACGGCCACAUUGGGACUGAGAUACGGGCCAGACUCCGACGGGAGGCAGCAGUGGGGAAUAUUGCACAAUGGGCGCAAGCCUGAUGCAGCGACGCCGCGUGGGGGAUGACGGCCUUCGGGUUGUAAACUCCUGUCGCAAUCGACGAAGCCUUUUGGUGACGGUAGGUUGAGAAGAAGCACCGGCUAACUACGUG
rnacentral:rRNA from 1 species